CACCACCGGUAUUAUCGCCCCCGCCUCCAGUUUAUUGCGUCCGUUCCCCACCACCGCCACCGCCAAAUUCUCCCCCGCCUCCCAUUUAUUCUCCACCACCACCUCCAGUUCAUUCACCGCCCCCACCAAGUCCUUACUAUAGUUCACCACCGCCCCCGCCGCCACAUCAUUCACCUCCACCACCUCCCCACUCGCCACCCCCGCCUCCACCUAUCUAUCCAUACGCAUCACCGCCACCGCCACCCGUGCAUUCCCCACCACCACCUGUCCAUUCUCCACCACCUCCAUGCAUAGAACCGCCUCCUCCUUCUCCACCACCCCCAUCACCACCUCCAUGCAUAGAACCGCCUCCUCCUCCUUCUCCACCACCAUGUGUAGAAUAUUCGCCACCUCCACCAUCACCACACUCACCACCGCCACCACCAGUUCAUUACUUGCCUCCACCAUCACCAUCACCCCCACCACCACCUGUGUAUGCUUCUCCGCCACCUCCACCAUCUCUGCCUCCCCCAGUUUACUACCAUUCUCCGCCCCCACCCUCACCACCUCCUCCAACCCCAUGUGAAAAUCCUCCACCUACUCCAUCACCACCGCCCCCAAUCAUUUAUGAGAGCCCAC
rnacentral:lncRNA from 1 species